AGUUCAGCAGCAAUAAAAUAACUUGAAAUUUUCAACAACUUUUCACAUAAUAUCUUUUUGCACCAAAUAGUAUCGAUAAGAAUAUCGAUAAGUACCCAGACAGCAGUUGACUCUGUGCCGGAUCCGUUUUCAAACCGGCAAAUCCGUAUUACAGUCACAUCCGUUUCAGUGCUGUAACACGGAUCCAGCCCGGGUCCGGUUUCAGUGGGCGGGAACUACUGUCGCAGAGCAGAUCCGGGCCGCGUCCGAAACGAGCGCGUGUUCAGAACAGAAGACGUCAAAGAUAUUUGCUUAGAUCAAAGCAAUAAAUUGUAUUUUGAAGUAAAUUAAAAUAGAAAACCAUUAUUUUAAAUUGUAAUACUUCUAAAUAUUACAUUUUUUUUCUGUAUUUUUGAUCAAAUAAAUGCUGGCUUGAUUAGCAUUUUGCGGAAAGAGUAAAACAAAUGUGUUGUAAUAUACUGUUUCAAUAUCUUAGAGAAACCAAUUUAAGUGGAAGGAUAUAGUUUUUUUAAAACAAUGCUUACACACAACAUUCUGGUCCACACUCACACCAGAUGGUGGCGGUAAUGCACCAAAAAAGUUGUUUGCCAACCGCCAAUAAACCUUAAUAGAAGAAGACAUCAAGAAGAUCGAGGCAGAUGGACUGCACGCUGUUAAAACUUCACCGAGAUCGGUGUUGGACCGGCGAACACUUUAGGCCUAUUAUCAGAGGACUUGCUAACAUGAAGAAAACGGUCCAGAGGUUCCACCUGAGAGCCGGGACUGUCGAAUAGUAAGAGACAACGAAAAGGGGGGAACUGUCUUUAAGCUGUGGAGUCAGAUGGAGGGCUCGCAUUUACCUCAAAAACGGCAUUGCAGAAGACUCAAACAACUAGAACCAACUCAAGCACACAACGGUGACACACAUUUGUAAGACCUUUCCCUGUGAUAUAAAAUGUCCCUGUGGUAAUUAUUCAGAUUCUUCUCAUUCUCAUUGUGUAGCACUGUUUUAAGCUUAGUGAAUAUUAUGUACAGUAAGCACUAGAAGUAGAGACUUGUACUACUUGGGGUAGUUUUAAAUUAACUUUAAUUUUGCUUUUGAUGCAAAAAUUAUCAAAAGAAAAGAUGUAGUGUAGUAAAAGAUGUUUUGUGUAGUAAUUCAAUUGUUUUAAUAUGAAUAUUGUUUUAGUAGUGUUCAGGACAGUAAUUGUCUGUACAUCUAAAUCAGUUCUUUAAACUUUUUGUUGUCUAAGACCUUGAUAUUAUACCUUAAGGGAAAAAGAAAGAUAUGUAAUUAUGUAUUAUGUACCCAGACAGCAAGGUGUGUCGGCCCAGAUCCAGCCCACAUCUGGCCCGUGUGAAAUCCAUGCGGGCCAGUUGUGGGCCGGAUCUGGGCUGACACUCCUUGCUGUCUGGGUAAGAUGCUUGUAAUCAUUGCUUUUAAAGGUAUUUAUCAUUUCUACUUAAAUAGUCAUUAUCUACUUGUAUGAUUUGUAUUAUCUGGGAACUGUACAAAUACUGUGGCAUAUGGACAUUACUCUUUUUAUUUGUAACUUUUAAAUGCAAUACUCUUUUUAAAUGCAUUUUCUGUAAAGCUGCAUUGGAAUAUGUAUUGUGAAAAGCACUGUACAAAUAAACAAAUUGUGUUUGAAUUCUA